ACGCUCGACACCUACGGGAGGUAGCAGUGGGGAAUAUUGCACAAUGGGGGAAACCCGUGAUGCAGCGACGCCGCGUGAAGGAAGAAGUAUCUCGGUAUGUAAACUUCUAUCAGCAGGGAAGAAAGUGACGGUACCUGACUAAGAAGCCCCGGCUAACUACGUGCUAGCAGCCGCGGUAAUCUGAGCGGGCUGGCAAGGC
rnacentral:rRNA from 1 species